CUGCACAGGGCAGCACAGCAUGGGGAGGAGGUGACCAGCCCUCUGUGGAGAAAAAAGUGGUUUGGAACUAAUUAGAAAAGCUGAACGAGCACAAGUCCAUGGGUCCAGAUACGCUGCAUCUGAGGGUGUUAAAGGAGGUGGCAGAUGUGAUUGCGGAGUCAUUAACCAUUAUCUUUGAAAACUCAUGGUGACUGGGGGAGGUCCUAGAUGAUAGGAAAAAGGCUAAUGG